UAGGGAAUAUUCCGCAAUGGGCGAAAGCCUGACGGAGCAACGCCGCGUGAGUGAAGAAGAUCUUCGGAUUGUAAAGCUCUGUCAACAGGGACGAUAAUGACGGUACCUGUGGAGGAAGCCACGGCAAACUACGUGCCAGCAGCCGCGGUAAUACGUAGGUGGCAAGCGUUGUCCGGAAUAACUGGGCGUAAAGCGCAUGUAGACGGCAUAGCAAGCCAAGUGUGAAAUUUAGGGGCUUAACCUCUAAACUGCGCUUGGAACUGCUGAGCUUGAGUGCAGGAGAGGCAAGUGGAAUUCCCAGUGUAGCAGUGAAAUGCGUAGAUAUUGGGAGGAAUAUCAGUGGCGAAGGCGCCCAUCUGGACGGUAACUGACGCUGAGAUACGAAAGCGUGGGGAGCAAACA
rnacentral:rRNA from 1 species